UACGAAGGGGACUAGCGUUGUUCGGAAUUACUGGGCGUAAAGCGCACGUAGGCGGAUUUGUUAGUCAGGGGUGAAAUCCCGGGGCUCAACCCCGGAACUGCCUUUGAUACUGAUAGUCUCGAGUCCGGAAGAGGUGAGUGGAACUGCGAGUGUAGAGGUGAAAUUCGUAGAUAUUCGCAAGAACACCAGUGGCGAAGGCGGCUCACUGGCCCGGAACUGACGCUGAGGUGCGAAAGCGUGGGGAGCAAACAGG
rnacentral:rRNA from 1 species